GCUCCCGCGCCGCGCUCCGCUUCCGGUAGGGGCGGAAAGCGGAAGUGUGGGAGGGUCUGCGGGGCGGGCUCAGGAGGUCCGCGGGAGGAUGGAGCAGUGAGCGGGUCUGGGCGGCUGCCGGCAGCGCCAUGGAGACGGUACAGCUGAGGAACCCGCCGCGCCGGCAGCUGAAAAAGUUGGAUGAAGAUAGUUUAACCAAACAACCAGAAGAAGUAUUUGAUGUCUUAGAGAAACUUGGAGAAGGGUCCUAUGGCAGCGUAUACAAAGCUAUUCAUAAAGAGACCGGCCAGAUUGUUGCUAUUAAGCAAGUUCCUGUGGAAUCAGACCUCCAGGAGAUAAUCAAAGAAAUCUCUAUAAUGCAGCAAUGUGACAGCCCUCAUGUAGUCAAAUAUUAUGGCAGUUAUUUUAAGAACACAGACUUAUGGAUCGUUAUGGAGUACUGUGGGGCUGGUUCUGUAUCUGAUAUCAUUCGAUUACGAAAUAAAACGUUAACAGAAGAUGAAAUAGCUACAAUAUUACAGUCAACUCUUAAGGGACUUGAAUACCUUCAUUUUAUGAGAAAAAUACACCGAGAUAUCAAGGCAGGAAAUAUUUUGCUAAAUACAGAAGGACAUGCAAAACUUGCAGAUUUUGGGGUAGCAGGUCAACUUACAGAUACCAUGGCCAAGAGGAAUACAGUGAUAGGAACACCAUUUUGGAUGGCUCCAGAAGUGAUUCAGGAAAUUGGAUACAACUGUGUAGCAGACAUCUGGUCCCUGGGAAUAACUGCCAUAGAAAUGGCUGAAGGAAAGCCCCCUUAUGCUGAUAUCCAUCCAAUGAGGGCAAUCUUCAUGAUUCCUACAAAUCCUCCUCCCACAUUCCGAAAACCAGAGCUAUGGUCAGAUAACUUUACAGAUUUUGUGAAACAGUGUCUUGUAAAGAGCCCUGAGCAGAGGGCCACAGCCACUCAGCUCCUGCAGCACCCAUUUGUCAGGAGUGCCAAAGGAGUGUCAAUACUGCGAGACUUAAUUAAUGAAGCCAUGGAUGUGAAACUGAAACGCCAGGAAUCCCAGCAGCGGGAAGUGGACCAGGACGAUGAAGAAAACUCAGAAGAGGAUGAAAUGGAUUCUGGCACGAUGGUUCGAGCAGUGGGUGAUGAGAUGGGCACUGUCCGAGUAGCCAGCACCAUGACUGAUGGAGCCAAUACUAUGAUUGAGCACGAUGACACGUUGCCAUCACAACUGGGCACCAUGGUGAUCAAUGCAGAGGAUGAGGAAGAGGAAGGAACUAUGAAAAGAAGGGAUGAGACCAUGCAGCCUGCGAAACCAUCCUUUCUUGAAUAUUUUGAACAAAAAGAAAAGGAAACCCAGAUCAACAGCUUUGGCAAGAGUGUACCUGGUCCACUGAAAAAUUCUUCAGAUUGGAAAAUACCACAGGACGGAGACUACGAGUUUCUUAAGAGUUGGACAGUGGAGGACCUUCAGAAGAGGCUCUUGGCCCUGGACCCCAUGAUGGAGCAGGAGAUUGAAGAGAUCCGGCAGAAGUACCAGUCCAAGCGGCAGCCCAUCCUGGAUGCCAUUGAGGCUAAGAAGAGACGGCAACAAAACUUCUGAGCAAGGCCAGGCUGUGAGGGCCCCAGCUCCACCCAGGCUUUGGGUGAAUUCUGGAUGGCUUGCCUCAUGUUUGUUAGCCAGCACUUCUGCUCUGUCGUCUCUCCACAGCACCUUUGUGAACUCAGGAAUGUGCGCCAGUGGGAAGGGCUCUCUUGACAGUCAGUGUGCCAUCUUGAUGUGUGUAUGUACAUUGGUCAGGUAUAUUAUCUCAAAGGAUUUAUAUUGGCGCUUUUAACUCAGAGUUUUAAACCCCAGGAACAGAGACUCCUAGUUGAGUGAUAGCUGGGAAAGUUUUACAUUGUCUGUUUUUCUUCUCCCAAUAGCUUUCAAUUGUUCUUUCUGGAAGACUUUUAAAAAUAUAUAAAUAUGCAUAUAUAUAUAUAAAUUAUAAAUAGAUUCCCCACGCAGUGUGGUGGCAUCUCUGUACAGGUACAGUUUUAAACGGUUUGCCUCUUUUCUGUAAGAUUAUGGUACUGUGGAACAUGAGGGCAGAGGACACCGGGAGGCUGUUAGGGGGUCACUGAAUCCCAGGAGCCAACCUCCCCCUUUGCAGGGCUGCAUUUAAAAAUUAGGUUUGGGACAGUUCUUGUACCGUGGUUUCAGCCUUGUGUGGUCAUCACUGGCUUCUGGAGCUAUUGGUGAUGUCCAAGGGAAAGCUUUGAGAGUUUAUGUUUACUCUUUGAGUCCCAGGAGAAGCCUGGCACCCUCUUUGCAAAUUGGCCUUUGCUCUUUCAAUGCCUUUCAUCCAUCUCCACUCUCUCAACUGCCUAAAGUCACAGCACAGAUACUGCCCAGUGCCUUAAGAGGAGACAUGAUCCACUGAGGGGAUAGGUCUACCAGGAACUCUCAGCAAACACGGGACUGUGUUCAGUCCACAAAGGAAAAGCGUUUUUGAAGCUCUCAUUGUUCAUGUAAAAAUCAUACACGUGGCAUUUUGCUCCACAUUCCUUACACACAGGGGUAGAGGGGAUUGCUUUUGUGACCCACAUUCAAAUAUGUGACUGUUUUCUUUUCUCUUUUACUGCUAAGCAGCCUGGAAAGGAUAAAUGAAAAUUAGACUAAGAUUUGUUCUCCAGGAGGCUCAAUCUGAACACACAGAAUGUCAGAGCUGGAAGGGACUAUAGAGAUCAUCUGGUCUGACCCUCUUGUACGGAUGAUCGGAAAACUGAGGUGUAGAGAGGGGAAUGGCCAAAAUCACAAAGCAAGUUAGCGUUAAGAGCUGAGACUAGAAUUCAGGGUCCUCACUCCCAGGCCACCGAACCAUGCAGCCCCUUCUUUGGGGGAAGAGACCUGUGUCAGUCUUGGUUAAUUGUUCCAGGGAACCUUGCUAACAGAAACUUGCUCUUGCCUUGGCUCUUCAGUAGAUGACCUGGCUGUAAAGAGAUUCCCUGGACGAGCCAGAUCAUUCAGUUUCAGUGAGUCCUUGAGCUCCGCAACAUCUACCAGAUAUAGCAGACAAGCACCCAUGGAGGCAGGUUUCGGGCCUGAAGCAGAUCAGAGGGCUUUGCAAAAGACAGCAUAGAGCCAUCUUCCUGCAACUUUACCUCUUUCCCUCAGAUGGGGAGCCAUGACUGGGUUGCACCUCAGGAUACUGUAAUUUGACUCCAUAAUUGCUUUUGCUCCUGAAACCUGGGAAUCAAUGGAAAGGCAGGGAAUGUGCCUCUUCUGUGGCCAGAUUGUGUUAUUUGCAAUUAAAGCAAGUUUUUAAAAAAUGCAAGAGGCAGUUGUUAGUCUUCAGGGCUUGGCCACUGAAAUAGCUAUGUGACGGAUACAGAAAACAGAGGACAAUUUGAGGAUCUUGCUGGAAUAAUAAAUGACAGCUACCAUUUGUUGAGCACCUAUUAUAUAUCAGGCACUGAGCUGGGUAGGCUCUAAACUUCACAAUAACCCUGUGACUUAACUACUUUAUCUCCAUUUUGUAGUUGAAGAAAUAAGUUCAGAGAGAAAGAUUCCUUCCCAAGGUCAUGCAGCUAGUAAAUGAUAGAAUCAGGAUUCAUAGCAUCACUAUAGGGGUUCAAUAUUUACACAAAAAAGGAAAGUCACAAGCCUGUUUAAAAUGAAGUGACCACCUUUUCUUGCAUAGACUAAAUAACUCGAACUGGCAUUUUUAGGUUGGAAAGACAGCUGAAUUAGUAGUUAAGUCUGAUAGCCAAGUAAGUUUUAAAAACCAAAGCAUCCAGGAUGCACACCCCUGCACCAUUUGCUGUGCGAAUUAAUAGUUCUGUCUCUCUCUCUCUUUCUUUUUUCUUUUUAUUUUUUGAGAUGGAUUUUUGCUCUUGUCGCCCAGGCUGGAGUACAAUGGCACGAUCUUGGCUCACUGCAACCUCCGCCUCCUGGGUUCAAGCGAUUCUUCUGCUGGGAUUACAGCAUAUGCCACCAUGCCCAGAUUAUUUUUUUGUAUUUGUAGUAGAGACGGGGUUUCACCAUGUCAGUCAGGCUGGUCUUGAACUCCUGACCUCAGGUGAUCCACCCGCCUCAGCCUCCCACACUGCUGGGAUUACAGGCAUGAGCCACCGCUCCUGGCCUCUCUUUCUUUUUUAAACAAAGAACUUUGCACUUGGCCAGAGAGGAGGAGAAAGCCCAUUUUCUCCCUUCCUAAGCUAGAUCCAAAUAAAAGAAAGUUCAGUUUUCCCCCAUAACUAUUCUUGGGUCAUGAACUUUGAUCUGGAGUUUGUUUUGUUUCAGGCAUAUGUGCACCCAGCUUGCUGAUCCAACAAAGUCUAUUGCUUACCAGUCUAGCUUGAUGGAGCCUUUUGGCCAGAAGUCAAUUUGUUUUGGAUCAGAGAAAUUUCCUGACAAGGUAUAUUUGUUUUCUAGUGACAGAAAGGCAAAGGAGCAAGUCCUAGUUUUUGUUGUUGUUGUUGUUGUUGAAUACUAAAUUUAAGAUAUAUCAGCUUGCUUUCAAUGAGCCUUGGGCUUCCGUCAUUGCUUGAGCAUUUGGAACUCGAGCUUCCAGAGAAAUUUGACGUCCUCGCUUGUUCUCUGCCUUCAAGAAACAAUGACCUGAUUCUGUCUUUAAAAAAAAAAAUCUCAGAAUUCUUUUUUUGUUUGUUUGUUUUUUUUUUUUUUGAGACGGAGUCUCACUCUGCCGCCCAGGCUGGAGUGCAGUGGCGCCAUCUCGGCUCACUGCAACCUCCGCCUCCCAGGUUCAAGCAAUUCUCCUGCCUCAGCCUCCCAGGUAGCUGCCACUACAGGCGCUGCGCCACCACGCCCGGCUAAUUUUUGUAUUUUUAGUAGAGACAGGGUUUCACCAUAUUAGCCAGGUGGGUCUUGAACUCCUGACCUUGUGAUCCACCCGCCUCGGCCUCCCAAACUUGUCAGGAGGCUGAAGUGGGAGGAUCACCUGAGCCCAGGGAGGUCAAGGCUGCAGUGAGCCAUGGUCUCACCACUGCACUCUAGCCUGGGUGACAGAAUGAGACCCUGUCUCAAAAAAAAAGAAGAAGUAGAUAAUCUGAAUAGCCCUAUAUCUAUAGAAACUUAAUAGUGCUGGGAGAUACAGGUAUUAUUAUCCUCAUUUUACAGAUGUGAAAAUUGAGGCUCAGAGAAGUAAAGUCUAUUAUUCAAGGUCAUGUGGCUAGAAUAUGGCAGAGCCAGGAUUCAGAUCCAGGUCUUCUGAUUCUUAUUCCAGUGUCCUUUCUAGCAUACCAUGUUGCCUCUAAAGAUUGCAGCUCCUUAUUUACUAGAAAAUUGUUCCUGCCCAAUCUACAUCUCCACCUCAUCCCAUCUUUUCUUAAGCACUAUGUUUGUGUUUUUAUCAGUAUUAUAUUCAUUGUCUUUGGAAUACAUGUUCUUGUUUGUGUUUGGAAAAAAAAUCUCUUUUACCAGCUUGCACUCGGACCAACUUGGAAAAAAAAAAAGCUUAAAUGCUGUUGCUAUGUACAGUUUAAAAAUGUGAAGUUUGUAGCUUUAACUUUUUGUAAGAAAAUCUAAUAACACUGGCUUAAGUGCUGACUUGAAAUGCUAUUUUGUAAGGUUUGGAUGUAAGUAAUCAAUUGAGGUCAGCAGUUUGUAUGAGACAUAGCUUCCUCCAUUGCCCCCACUCCUUUUUGCUUUUUUAAGUUUGAGAUGCUUCCUGUGUUUUUAUGUUAGAAUUGUUCUCCUUCUUUUCUUCUUCCUAUACCUCAUCACGUUUGUUUUAAAUAAACUGUCCUUUGGACCACAAACCCUUA